rfam:Volvox carteri f. nagariensis unplaced genomic scaffold VOLCAscaffold_1, whole genome shotgun sequence.
AAAUCGGUGUUUUUUAACACCACCAUAUUGAAACGCAAGGACCUUGU